rnacentral:rRNA from 1 species
GUUAUAUGGUCAAGUGAAGAAGCGCAUACGGUGGAUGCCUUGGCAGUCAGAGGCGAUGAAAGACGUGGUAGCCUGCGAUAAGCUUCGGGGAGUCGGCAAACAGACUUUGAUCCGGAGAUGUCUGAAUGGGGGAACCCACUCAGCAUAAGCUGAGUAUCUUGUACUGAAUACAUAGGUGCAAGAGGCGAACCAGGGGAACUGAAACAUCUAAGUACCCUGAGGAAAAGAAAUCAACCGAGAUUCCCUUAGUAGUGGCGAGCGAACGGGGACUAGCCCUUAAGUGGCUUUGAGAUUAGCGGAACGCUCUGGAAAGUGCGGCCAUAGUGGGUGAUAGCCCUGUACGCGAAAAUCUCUUAGUCAUGAAAUCGAGUAGGACGGAGCACGAGAAACUUUGUCUGAAUAUGGGGGGACCAUCCUCCAAGGCUAAAUACUACUGACUGACCGAUAGUGAACCAGUACCGUGAGGGAAAGGCGAAAAGAACCCCGGAGAGGGGAGUGAAAUAGAACCUGAAACCGUAUGCGUACAAGCAGUGGGAGCCUACUUUGUUAGGUGACUGCGUACCUUUUGUAUAAUGGGUCAGCGACUUAUAUUCAGUGGCGAGCUUAACCGAAUAGGGGAGGCGUAGCGAAAGCGAGUCUUAAUAGGGCGUUUAGUCGCUGGGUAUAGACCCGAAACCGGGCGAUCUAUCCAUGGGCAGGUUGAAGGUUAGGUAACACUGACUGGAGGACCGAACCGACUACCGUUGAAAAGUUAGCGGAUGACCUGUGGAUCGGAGUGAAAGGCUAAUCAAGCUCGGAGAUAGCUGGUUCUCCUCGAAAGCUAUUUAGGUAGCGCCUCAUGUAUCACUGUAGGGGGUAGAGCACUGUUUCGGCUAGGGGGUCAUCCCGACUUACCAAACCGAUGCAAACUCCGAAUACCUACAAGUGCCGAGCAUGGGAGACACACGGCGGGUGCUAACGUCCGUCGUGAAAAGGGAAACAACCCAGACCGUCAGCUAAGGUCCCAAAGUUAUGGUUAAGUGGGAAACGAUGUGGGAAGGCUUAGACAGCUAGGAGGUUGGCUUAGAAGCAGCCACCCUUUAAAGAAAGCGUAAUAGCUCACUAGUCGAGUCGGCCUGCGCGGAAGAUGUAACGGGGCUCAAACCAUACACCGAAGCUACGGGUAUCACUUAGGUGAUGCGGUAGAGGAGCGUUCUGUAAGCCUGUGAAGGUGAGUUGAGAAGCUUGCUGGAGGUAUCAGAAGUGCGAAUGCUGACAUGAGUAACGACAAUGGGAGUGAAAAACUCCCACGCCGAAAGACCAAGGUUUCCUGCGCAACGUUAAUCGACGCAGGGUUAGUCGGUCCCUAAGGCGAGGCUGAAAAGCGUAGUCGAUGGAAAACAGGUUAAUAUUCCUGUACUUCUAGUUAUUGCGAUGGAGGGACGGAGAAGGCUAGGCCAGCUUGGCGUUGGUUGUCCAAGUUUAAGGUGGUAGGCUGAGAUCUUAGGUAAAUCCGGGAUCUUAAGGCCGAGAGCUGAUGACGAGUUGCCAUUAGGCGACGAAGUGGUUGAUGCCAUGCUUCCAAGAAAAGCUUCUAAGCUUCAGAUAACUAGGAACCGUACCCCAAACCGACACAGGUGGUUGGGUAGAGAAUACCAAGGCGCUUGAGAGAACUCGGGUGAAGGAACUAGGCAAAAUGGCACCGUAACUUCGGGAGAAGGUGCGCCGGUGAGGGUGAAGGACUUGCUCCGUAAGCCCAUGCCGGUCGAAGAUACCAGGCCGCUGCGACUGUUUAUUAAAAACACAGCACUCUGCAAACACGAAAGUGGACGUAUAGGGUGUGACGCCUGCCCGGUGCCGGAAGGUUAAUUGAUGGGGUUAGCUAACGCGAAGCUCUUGAUCGAAGCCCCGGUAAACGGCGGCCGUAACUAUAACGGUCCUAAGGUAGCGAAAUUCCUUGUCGGGUAAGUUCCGACCUGCACGAAUGGCGUAACGAUGGCGGCGCUGUCUCCACCCGAGACUCAGUGAAAUUGAAAUCGCUGUGAAGAUGCAGUGUAUCCGCGGCUAGACGGAAAGACCCCGUGAACCUUUACUAUAGCUUUGCACUGGACUUUGAAUUUGCUUGUGUAGGAUAGGUGGGAGGCUUUGAAGCGUGGACGCCAGUUCGCGUGGAGCCAUCCUUGAAAUACCACCCUGGCAACUUUGAGGUUCUAACUCAGGUCCGUUAUCCGGAUCGAGGACAGUGUAUGGUGGGUAGUUUGACUGGGGCGGUCUCCUCCUAAAGAGUAACGGAGGAGUACGAAGGUGCGCUCAGACCGGUCGGAAAUCGGUCGUAGAGUAUAAAGGCAAAAGCGCGCUUGACUGCGAGACAGACACGUCGAGCAGGUACGAAAGUAGGUCUUAGUGAUCCGGUGGUUCUGUAUGGAAGGGCCAUCGCUCAACGGAUAAAAGGUACUCCGGGGAUAACAGGCUGAUACCGCCCAAGAGUUCAUAUCGACGGCGGUGUUUGGCACCUCGAUGUCGGCUCAUCACAUCCUGGGGCUGAAGCCGGUCCCAAGGGUAUGGCUGUUCGCCAUUUAAAGUGGUACGCGAGCUGGGUUUAGAACGUCGUGAGACAGUUCGGUCCCUAUCUGCCGUGGACGUUUGAGAUUUGAGAGGGGCUGCUCCUAGUACGAGAGGACCGGAGUGGACGAACCUCUGGUGUUCCGGUUGUCACGCCAGUGGCAUUGCCGGGUAGCUAUGUUCGGAAGAGAUAACCGCUGAAAGCAUCUAAGCGGGAAACUUGCCUCAAGAUGAGAUCUCACUGGAGCCUUGAGCUCCCUGAAGGGCCGUCGAAGACUACGACGUUGAUAGGUUGGGUGUGUAAGCGCUGUGAGGCGUUGAGCUAACCAAUACUAAUUGCCCGUGAGGCUUGACCAUAUAACACCCAAGCAAUU